UGCUUUCUGUGGGGCUCAAUUUCGCCAAUUGCUGCUGCCCUUCCUGAGUUAGAUGAGUUCAGUGCCGAGGUUGCCUGCGCUUUCCGCCUGCUGGACGUGCAACAAGCUGUAGGGCUCACUGUUCCCGCAACAGUUGGCGCUAAAGCCUGCCAUCCAAGGUGCGUUGUGUACAAAUGUAUACCUAACCAAUCUCGGGCAAUCCUGCAAAAACCUUGUGAGCUGUCACUGCAGACAGCUCUUGUAGGAAUUGCGCUUGCAGCUUGCAUUUGGUGUUGUGAAUAUCUCGGAACGUGCUGGAACCACGCACGGCCCCAUAACUUCAGACGGCCUCGCCGGUCUGCGAUGACUCCCAGAGCGCACGGCCGACACAAUAAGUCACGAUUGCCAUAAUUGUGUCUCGGCACUCGACACACAUUUGCAUCAGAUUCACGGCGCGGGGUAACGCGCUGCGAACCCUGUGUGCGCUGCGCCUCCGUUGCGAGAAGAACAGGUCCAUCGUCUCUUAUACAAACUCAGAAGACUAAUGUAAGAUGGCUCCAAACCGUUGCUAGGACCGACUAACGCAUAUUCAUCAGGCAACAGGUUAACCGGACAACUUCUACCUCAACAGUUAAGCACCCACCACAUCACAAGCCGGUGUAACAGAUGUCAAACAAUCACGUAUGAUCACAUAAUCCCAUCCCACUCGGAAGCUCAUCGACAAUACAACACCCAAUGAAUAGCCUGCUUAAGCCUCACGCGUCAUGGCGGUCGCAAAGCACGUGUGGUAAGUGUACCACCGCGCGCCUUGCCACCCCACUCAUUGUUGAUUGUCUAUGGGAAAGUAAGUGCGCACGGAGGGCAACUGCGCAGAAUGAGUAACUGCCCACUGCAUGUAGCCGCCAUGGCGGUUGGAUUUCAAACCCCCCUGACGCGGCCCAUGUUGUUCGAGCUGACGAUAGCGCAUAGUGGCUUGGAGUUCAAGAGAGUCCUAUUCCUUAGCGCAGCCGCAGCUAACAGCCUCAAACCUUCUAGCGCCUACGGCAUUCUCACAUCCUCUCGCACAUCCUCACGUGAAGGGCACCGCGGAAGGGUUGAGUCCUGUGUACUUGUACGCCUGAGCAGCCACCGCGAAGGGUAGCCCCACCGACACCUCAUUGCUCUUACUGGCCACGCAGCUGUACACGGCCUCAGCCACCUCAUUGGGAGUCUGGGAAAGAGGCAGAGACCGCAACAUUUGGCGGAAGGACCUGGAGGGGGAGUUUCGGUAUGAGUUGGUUGGGGGGGAGAGACAGGAAGGGUAUUUGGGGUUUUAGGGGGGACUUCUGGGGUGGUGGGAAGGUAAGAGGAUGUAAAUAGGGCUUGAGACGGUGGGGAAGACACAGCGCGUCGUGAUGCUUUUGCCGCAGUGACCCGAGAGGUGUCAGGGAGGGAGGGAGUUAGGGAGGGAGGGAGACGGUGAAGGUGAGG
rnacentral:lncRNA from 1 species